rnacentral:rRNA from 1 species
UACGUAGGGACCAAGCGUUGUCCGGAAUUAUUGGGCGUAAAGCGUGUGUAGGCGGUGUUCCCAGUCUGUUGUGAAAUCUCCCGGCUUAACUGGGAGGGUGCAGCGGAAACUAGAAUGCUAGAGGGUGGGAGAGGUAAGCGGAAUUCCUGGUGUAGCGGUGAAAUGCGUAGAUAUCAGGAGGAACACCUGUGGUGUAGACAGCUUACUGGACCACUUCUGACGCUGAGACACGAAAGCGUGGGUAGCAAACAGG